UACGGAGGGGGCUAGCGUUGUUCGGAAUUACUGGGCGUAAAGCGCACGUAGGCGGCUUUGUAAGUUAGAGGUGAAAGCCCGGGGCUCAACUCCGGAAUUGCCUUUAAGACUGCAUCGCUAGAACGUCGGAGAGGUAAGUGGAAUUCCGAGUGUAGAGGUGAAAUUCGUAGAUAUUCGGAAGAACACCAGUGGCGAAGGCGACUCGCUGGACAAAUAUUGACGCUGAGGUGCGAAAGCGUGGGGAGCAAACAGG
rnacentral:rRNA from 1 species